GCUUUCCUUGUCAUGGGGUGGGACGGGAGGCUCGAUGAACGUGUAGUGAGAGCCCCCCUGCUGACACCAUAUCAACACAUAUGCAUCACCUGGACUUCGGUUCAGGCUAUGAUGCAAUUUUUGGAAAC
ensembl:snRNA